UUGGUUACUUGUGGACUGUGCUAUUUGUAGCGUUCUAUAUAUUAAAAUUGUUAUUAAAUAUUAUUUCACUAGCAUUGGUAACAUUGUAUUUGGUUAAUUAAAAUUUUGAGUCUAUAAGAUGGCUGACGACAAAAAGGAAAAUGAGAAAUUUUAUUAUAGUGACCGUGCAGUAAAAAUAUGCACCUAUUACGUUUUGACUCUCACUUUUGUGAUUUUAUUUAUAAAACUAUAUUUCAGUAUUUAAUUAAUUUUAUAAGUUGUCGCUCAAAAUUAAGUAGCCAAUUUUUUUUAUAUAUUUUUAUAUUUUUUUGAAUAAAUAUAUAUUUGGAGAAUAUUAUACAUUUGGAAAAUAAUAAAUUUAAUUUAUUUAUUGUUAUCGGUGCAUGAGCUUGUAUGAUUUUAUUAAAUUCGUGUAAUCGAAGACAUAGUUGUUAAAUUUAAAUGCUGCUUGGCGAAAUAUAUAUUUAGUUUAAAACAAAACAUCUGACGACUGUAGUGAAAUGAUGUGCCAAAAUUUAAGAGAGGGUUUGAAGCAUCACAUUAAAUUAAGCAACUGGUUGUUUUACAUGGUUUGUGAUCCCGGAUAGAAUAUUAAACCAGCGUAUCAUCAAAACGUGGUCCAUGGAGACGUACAGCAAAAUGCCAACCUGUUACUGAAGAGACAACUGCUUCAAACGCGCCUUUCUUACAUGUUUUAUUUAUCAGUAUUACCACAAUUUAAAAGACGGUCUAACGCUUUUGAUUAAAUUCAGGUAUAAUUAUUUGCUCACGUUUUCUUUCAUUGUGUAUAUUGGAAAUUUUCACUAUUUUUUUAAAUUUUAAAAAUAGCUUAGUAAAUUAGUAGCCGUAGAGUUGUGUCAUGAAUAUAUAAAGAAAUAUAUCUAUAUUUUUAAAAAUUAAA